GGCGCGUCGCUCCCCCCAACGCCCUCCCCGCCGCGGCCCGCCCACCACCUCCCCACCACCACUGCCACCGAACGUCCGAACCCGCGCCCAGACCCCGAUGCCGCACCACUGUAACCGCCCAGCUCGGAUCCUUACCGUCGCCGCUCCUUCUUCCCGAGACUCGCUCUCAAUCCCGGCGCCCAGCUCGGAUUCGCGCCCCCAAUCCCGGCACGCAGUCGCCGCUCCCUCAUCCAGAGAGACCCCAAUCCCGGCGCCCAGCUCGGAUCCUGACGGCGCCGCAGCAACCUGCCAUCGGCGCUCCUUCAUCCCCCAGAUGCAUCCCCAACCCCGGCGCCGCACCACCCCCAUCCCGGCGCGUCUCGGCCUCCCGUCGGCGACCCUCGCGCCGUCCCGGCGAAGUGCUGAACGGCCGGUUGCCGUCAGCCCCCCUCCCCCGGCGAGCUGCAGCAUCCGUCCAGCGCAAUUGAUCUAAGGGCGAGAUACUUAUAGUUCAUUCUUUCUAUUACUGGAUUCAUUCUGUCUAUUACGCAUCGUAGGUUCCCGCCGGCGAGGAGGACCUGCCGGCGCAUGUGCCAGUGAGAUGGAGCAGCCGGCACAGGUGCAGACUUAUGAACUGGAGGUCAUCCUGAUGCCAAUUUGAGUAAACCAUGUGUCAAUCUCGCCGUGGUCGAUCUAGUUUAGCUGUUCUUAUUGGGACUACCCAGCAAUGUGAAGGAAGGAGGUACCGCAUCGGGAUUUGACCAUCUUCGUCGUCGAUGAUCCCCCCCCCCUCAUUGUCUUCUUUAAUCAAUUGUUUUUUGUGUUUUUGGGAUCGCCAAGCACUGGCAAGAAUCUUGCUAACACAGCCAGAUCAUUCAGACAACCCAAUGCAAAGCACUAUUCAUAGCAAACCAUUGUAAGUCUGCGCCGCUGUCCGGCCUUCCUCAGUGCCAAGCAGCUCUCCUAUUAUCUGUACUACCCAUGGUUUUCUACACAUUCGUCCUCACCGAUGGAGUCUCCUGGUGCGUCAGUUUGUAAUUCUUUCAAUGCUUGUUUCAUUCCUUCUGUGCCAUGUGAAGAUGUGUUUUGUGAACUGCUGUGUUUAGAAAAUAGAAACUAGUGGUUUAGUAUAUCUAUCCCAUGCAUUUUGCUAACUGAACUAUCCUUUUGGUUAGUUUUAAUAAAUCCUGAUGUCAGUAUCUCUCCUAUUUUUUCUAUAUUGAACUUCAUUGUCAGGUACCAGCUUCUGCUCGAUUUGUGCAACUGAUUAUAAUGUUAGAUUAGCUAUAUGUUUUAUGUAUUUAUAAUAUGCUGCUAAAUUGAUGUCAAGAAUCGCUGCCCUUACAUACUGAACUCUUCAGUGAGUUCCAUCACGGGACUGCUCAACUAGAAGCACGGCAGAUCUGGUUUUUGAUGGAUAUAAGAAGUAGCACGGGGAGAGGUAGCUGGAUCUGGUUUUCUCUGGCCGCUAGAAGCCAGACCUGAAUCAUGUCAUCAUCCUCUCCCUCCAAAAUGCCUAGCCAUCCCUCUUCAGUCUACAUCGCUAUCGCUCGCAUCCAUCCUUCUGCCUGCACUGAAGAAUCAGGGCACAAGGGAAUACGAGCCAUAGGGUCAAGGAUCUACAGAAUACAGGGUCCUCUUUAUCAGGCAGAUAUGAAUGGGUGCAAUCUGUAUGAUAGAGCACUCUAAGGAACUUCAGAAUCUUGUUAAUGACGCUAUUGACAAAGGUGCCGAAAUUGCUGUCAGGGAGUUUUGGCAAUCUUGGUGAAGAUGCAGUUGAUCAAUUUUUCCCUCCAACUAUCCCGGUGAAUGUUAAUCACACAAUGAAAAUUAUGCAAGAAGAGGCAUUUGGACCAAUUCUACCAAUCAUAAAAUUCAGUUCUGACGAAGAGGCUAUUAAACUGGCAAAGGAUUCAAAAUUUGGUCUUUGUGGAUGACUCUGUCCUGUUGGUGUUUGCAGCUUGUGCUUGGGAACGUAGCUUUGAGAACCUUUUCUGGUUUACACCUGUUGCCUGGGCAUUGAAAUGAAAUUGAAAUUCUACUAACUAUGGUUGUGCAAGGAUGUGUCAUGUGCUGCUCUUGGACACCAUCGGUGUUGAGUGUCUGUGUGCGGUUGAUAAAUCUCAGCAGCUUCAUCGGCAUGUACAAAGUGUGGGGAAGAAAAGACCUUGUACUUUUGCUCCAAAAAAAAAGCUUCCACAAGCUCCUUGUAUACUCAAAUUGUUUGUGCUCAUAAAUAAAAUCAAUAAAAAAAAACGUCCACAGCUUCAUCGA